rnacentral:misc_RNA from 1 species
AAGAAGUCCAUCUCUGCUGAACUUUUCUUUCGGUGAUCAGGCUGCAUUUUUCUAAAUAAUUCGAGAAACCCCACAAAUCCAAGUAUAAAUCCGAAUCGAGUGAUCCAAGUAGACAAGAGUGUUGAAUUCAGAAAUUCAGCCGCAUUUACCCCAACGUCCUCUGCUACGGAUGGCGAAAGAACAGUCCCAGUCCCACCUAAUCCUCUUCAAAUUGUCCAAAACUGGUAUUAUUAUUAUCACGUUAUCCUGAUCCUUCAUAAACUCUCCCUCAACAAGAAUCAUAGAAAUGGGUUCAACAUUUCCACAAAAAUACCUCCAAAAAACAAAACCCUAAAUCUCAAAAUUCAAAAUUGCAAGAACUCCGGGAUGGGAUAAUUAAUAAUGGAGUAUGAAAUCAAAGAGAUAUGUGGAUCUGAAGAAACCCUAGCUGGUGGGGAAGAGGGAGAUCUGACACCGACAAUAUUGAGGUGGGGUUGGA